rnacentral:rRNA from 1 species
UACAGAGGUCUCAAGCGUUGUUCGGAUUCAUUGGGCGUAAAGGGCGCGUGGGCGGCUUGGCAAGUGGAAGGUGAAAUCCCUCGGCUUAACCGAGGAACUGCCCUCCAGACUGCUUUGCUUGAGGCCGGGAGAGGUGAGUGGAAUUCCCAGUGUAGCGGUGAAAUGCGUAGAUAUUGGGAGGAACACCAGUGGCGAAGGCGGCUCACUGGACCGGUUCUGACGCUGAGGCGCGAAAGCGUGGGGAGCAAACGGG